AUGGGAUUUGGAUUGAAUGGAAUUCUCAUUCUGGUUUUUUUCCAAGGUGUCCAUUGUGAUAUUCAGCUGGUGGAGUCUGGGGGAGAUGUGAGACAGCCUGGAGGAUCCUUGAAACUCUCUUGCAAAGCUUCUGGAUUCACCUUCAGCAGCUACUACAUGUACUGGGUUCGUCAGGCUCCAGGGAAGGGGCUGGAGUGGAUCUCAUACAUUAGCAGUGAUGGAAGGAGCACAAAUUAUGCAGACUCUGUGAAAGGCCGAUUCACCAUCUCCAGGGACAAUGGCAACAGCCUGCUGCACCUGCAGAUGAAUUCCCUGAAAGCUGAGGACACAGCCAUGUAUUACUGUGCGAGAGACACAGUGAUAGAAAGGAGUGAGAGAGCAGAAAUAAACUUCCUCCUUCAUGGAGACUUGGUGAAGAAUGACUUGGAGAGGGAAAUCAAGAACAUUGAACAGAAGGAAACCAGUUACAAUAAUAGUGAAAAGUGA